CGAUUCCCGGCCAAUGCAACUUA
rnacentral:piRNA from 1 species